rnacentral:rRNA from 1 species
GCGCCUCGUGAAUUCAUCUCCGGGGGUAGAGCACUGUUUCGGCUAGGGGGCCAUCCCGGCUUACCAACCCGAUGCAAACUGCGAAUACCGGAGAAUGUUAUCACGGGAGACACACGGCGGGUGCUAACGUCCGUCGUGAAGAGGGAAACAACCCAGACCGCCAGCUAAGGUCCCAAAGUCAUGGUUAAGUGGGAAACGAUGUGGGAAGGCCCAGACAGCCAGGAUGUUGGCUUAGAAGCAGCCAUCAUUUAAAGAAAGCGUAAUAGCUCACUGGUCGAGUCGGCCUGCGCGGAAGAUGUAACGGGGCUAAACCAUGCACCGAAGCUGCGGCAGCGAACGUAUCACUUAAAGCGAUUCAGCGGGUUACGAUUGACGGAGCGAAGCGACGUCAAAGCGUAUACAAAGUCGAGUCGGUUUAAGGAUACGUUCGUUGGGUAGGGGAGCGUUCUGUAAGCCUGUGAAGGUGGCCUGUGAGGGUUGCUGGAGGUAUCAGAAGUGCGAAUGCUGACAUAAGUAACGAUAAAGCGGGUGAAAAGCCCGCUCGCCGGAAGACCAAGGGUUCCUGUCCAACGUUAAUCGGGGCAGGGUGAGUCGACCCCUAAGGCGAGGCCGAAAGGCGUAGUCGAUGGGAAACGGGUUAAUAUUCCCGUACUUGGUGUUACUGCGAAGGGGGGACGGAGAAGGCUAUGUUGGCCGGGCGACGGUUGUCCCGGUUUAAGCGUGUAGGUGUGUGUUCCAGGUAAAUCCGGUUCACUUUAACACUGAGGCGUGACGACGAGGCACUACGGUGCUGAAGCAACAAAUGCCCUGCUUCCAGGAAAAGCCUCUAAGCAUCAGGUAACAUCAAAUCGUACCCCAAACCGACACAGGUGGUCAGGUAGAGAAUACCAAGGCGCUUGAGAGAACUCGGGUGAAGGAACUAGGCAAAAUGGUGCCGUAACUUCGGGAGAAGGCACGCUGACACGUAGGUGAAGUGAUUUACUCACGGAGCUGAAGUCAGUCGAAGAUACCAGCUGGCUGCAACUGUUUAUUAAAAACACAGCACUGUGCAAACACGAAAGUGGACGUAUACGGUGUGACGCCUGCCCGGUGCCGGAAGGUUAAUUGAUGGGGUCAGCGCAAGCGAAGCUCCUGAUCGAAGCCCCGGUAAACGGCGGCCGUAACUAUAACGGUCCUAAGGUAGCGAAAUUCCUUGUCGGGUAAGUUCCGACCUGCACGAAUGGCGUAAUGAUGGCCAGGCUGUCUCCACCCGAGACUCAGUGAAAUUGAACUCGCUGUGAAGAUGCAGUGUACCCGCGGCAAGACGGAAAGACCCCGUGAACCUUUACUAUAGCUUGACACUGAACAUUGAGCCUUGAUGUGUAGGAUAGGUGGGAGGCUUUGAAGUGUGGACGCCAGUCUGCAUGGAGCCGACCUUGAAAUACCACCCUUUAAUGUUUGAUGUUCUAACGUGGACCCGUAAUCCGGGUUGCGGACAGUGUCUGGUGGGUAGUUUGACUGGGGCGGUCUCCUCCUAAAGAGUAACGGAGGAGCACGAAGGUUGGCUAAUCCUGGUCGGACAUCAGGAGGUUAGUGCAAUGGCAUAAGCCAGCUUGACUGCGAGCGUGACGGCGCGAGCAGGUGCGAAAGCAGGUCAUAGUGAUCCGGUGGUUCUGAAUGGAAGGGCCAUCGCUCAACGGAUAAAAGGUACUCCGGGGAUAACAGGCUGAUACCGCCCAAGAGUUCAUAUCGACGGCGGUGUUUGGCACCUCGAUGUCGGCUCAUCACAUCCUGGGGCUGAAGUAGGUCCCAAGGGUAUGGCUGUUCGCCAUUUAAAGUGGUACGCGAGCUGGGUUUAGAACGUCGUGAGACAGUUCGGUCCCUAUCUGCCGUGGGCGCUGGAGAACUGAGGGGGGCUGCUCCUAGUACGAGAGGACCGGAGUGGACGCAUCACUGGUGUUCGGGUUGUCAUGCCAAUGGCACUGCCCGGUAGCUAAAUGCGGAAGAGAUAAGUGCUGAAAGCAUCUAAGCACGAAACUUGCCCCGA